GGCUAGAGAGUUAUCUCAGUGGUUAAAAAACACUGACUGCUCUUCCAGAGGUUCUGGGUUCAAUUCCCAGCAGCCA
rnacentral:tRNA from 1 species